AAAAACCAUUGUGUUUGAGAAAUGACUUUGCUCAGAUGGUCAUCCUUAAAAGUGCUAAUACAGCACAGGUUUAAAAGAGGAGAAUUUGCUUGGAAAGAUUUAGAGCUAGCUCUUUAGCUGUGACAGACUGAAAUGGUUCUAUUAUUGCCUGUGGAGUUAGCUGGAUUUAUACCUGGUCUACCCCUCCACAGUUCAUCUGGACACGGAGAAAAGUAUCCUGAAGACACCCUCUAGCUUUAUAAAUAACUUUAUAAUGGUCAAAAACUGUUCCAGGUACUGCAACAUUUCGAGAAAAAUCUGCUUCACUGGAUUCUAUUGCACAAAAGGCAAUUCAGUACUCAUGCUACUGCUCCAUAACCAAACAUACUUAUUGUCAUAUUCAAGUUCAGAGAAAAGUUAGACCUUCAUCCUUCCUCUCUUCAAUUCAUCAGCAAUCAGUUAUGGUCUUAUAAAUACUUAUUAAUGGUACUUAUUUAUUCAAACUCUCUUCAGCAUUAGCAUGUUUUGGAGAUUCAAUUUAUUGAAUAAACAUAUGAAAUUGGAUUUCUGACCUUAAGAU
rnacentral:lncRNA from 1 species